GGCCAUACCCUGAUCUGGGCAGAUCCCACAUGCUGGGGACCGACAGGACCCUGCGGCACCACUGCGGAGCCUGCGCUCUGAAGCCCCAGCCCCACGCCGAGCCCACGUGCCGCCUCUGCCGCAGAGCGAGCGCCCCAGAGCCCGCGCCCCGCAACAGCAGAGAGGCUCACGCCGCAGCUCCCCGCAACAGGACCCAGCACAGCCAUAAACAAAUGAAAAUAAAAGACGCGCACUCUCGACACACAAGGAAAUGCAAACUCGGGCAGAAGCAACAGCCUCACUUUCAUCUGAGGAGCUGGCAAAACCCGAAAAGAGUAACACCCAGGGCCGGUAGAGAUUCGGAGAAAGAGACAUUCCUGCUCAUUGCUGGUAGGAACGCGGCCAGCUGCGACUUUUCUGGAAAGGAACUUGCUUCUCUGAAAACCACACUUGACAGCAAAGAGGAAGAAACUUCUGACAUGAGCUACGAGGCGGAUGAAUGUCCAGGAUGUUGGGCCAAGUGGACAAGCCAGAGCUGGGCGAGACACGCAGGGGGAUCCCAGUGCUGGUCGUCAUUGGAAACGGUCUCACUGCAUAUGGACUACCUGACAGCCUCAGAAGCAAGAGCUCACCUGUCUCGUCCGUACCAAUCCCCAGCAUCUGCACUCCCGAGAGACGCGUGUUGAAUGAAUGAAUGACUGAGAUCCUUCACGGCGUCUCCCUAACCGGAAGGAGAGCUCCAUCCUGGGUGGCCCACGGCGGCUUACGCGCUGCUGGAUGAGGGCUCUUCCUGGUUGCGGGGGGUCCAUGCAUUGGUGGUCUCUACUGACUGUCAGCCCUCUCCCUCACAGGUAUAUUCCGGGAUUGGACACAUAACUAACUUGCUUUGGCCGAUGGGGUGGCAGCAGAUGUGCUGGGCACAGAGCCUUGGUACAGAUUUGAAUGCUGGGGUCUGUCCUCUUGGGAUGCUGCCUCUUGAAGUCCUGAGUCACUCUGUGACGAGGUCCAGCUGCUGUGAUGGCAUGGAGGCACAAGUGUGCCAGUCAUCCCCUUGUUCCAGCCACCUCAGCUGACGCCCCAGAAGUCUGGGUGAAGAUGCUCUUUGGAACCUUCCACCCCAGAAGACACCUGGCAGGGUGGAAGAACCACCCAGCUGAGCCCAGCCCAGAGUGCAGAGCCAGGGGAAAUAUGCAGUCACGUUUCAAGCAAGUUUGACAUGCUGACUUUAGCAGUAAGUAGCUGAAACGCCAGCUUCCUUUCCAUUUGGAACGGCUGUGUGAGUCCACAGCUCAGAAACCGAGGUGGCAAAGGGCCGCAACACGGUUAGCUUUGCUUUUGCGCUUCAGCCCGCAUCCCACACACGUUAGUCCAUAGUUCGUUGAGCAGUUUAUUGAACUCGCCAUGCUAAUCUCUGUGCUACUUAAGUGUGUGAUGGAGAAGGUGCUGGUCGUUUCCUCCACAAUCUUUAAGGUUAUGCCAGAGGCAUCAGUGGGUCCAUCCCACGCCUUGUUCCCGACCACACAGCUUGUGCAAGGCUGAGGCAGCUGGGCCUGCCCGGGUGAGCCUCCUGCUGACGCUGCGGCCAGGUUGCCGCCCUCUCCCUGGGCCUUCCCUCCUGGACCCUUCGCCCCGCACCAGCUGCUCUCCAGGAGAGCGAGCGAGAGAACAGGGUAGGUCUGCCUAACCUUGACCUUCAUUCAUGUCUUAAAAGACAAGAGACAAACCCUACUCUGUACUGCCUUAAAACCUACAUUUAAGUAGAAAGCCUUAUUUUUCCCCCUUGGACAGAAUAAAGGGAAUCCGAAGUGACAACACAGUUAAUCUCAGAUUAGAAGUUAUGAUUGCUGGCGUGAAAGCAGAAAAAGGGCAAUUAAUUUUACAGGUGAAAAUGAAUACAUUAAAAUUUUUAAGGAAGGGAGGAAGGGGAAUUGUUUUUAUCAUUAAAAAAGUCAAAUGCACAGACUAAAAAGAUCUAAUAAUUACUAAGUUGC
ensembl:lncRNA